rnacentral:rRNA from 1 species
CGUGUAGGCGGUUAGUUAAGUCUGAUGUGAAAGCCCCGGGCUCAACCUGGGAAGUGCAUUGGAAACUGGCAAACUUGAGUACGGGAGAGGGAAGUGGAAUUUCGAGUGUAGGGGUGAAAUCCGUAGAUAUUCGAAGGAACACCAGUGGCGAAGGCGGCUUCCUGGACCGAUACUGACGCUGAGACGCGAAAGCGUGGGGAGCAAACAGGAUUAGAUACCCUGGUAGUCC